rnacentral:misc_RNA from 1 species
AAAAAAAAAAAUGCUCUGGGUCCCCAUGUGUGCUAUUACUCUCCUGAUUUUUUGAUACAUGAACUCUCUUUUUACCAUUUUGUAACUUGAGAACUCUCUAUCUAUACUUUAGUGUAUUAUCGAAAGUCGAUUGUAAUGUUGUGUUCUUGCUGUUGUGCUACUUAUUUUAUUGUUUCUUGAUGUUGAUAGGAGCAUUAUGUCAUUGAGAUGU